GCUAGAAUAGAUCAGUUGGUAGAGCAUGAGUCUCUUAAUCUCAGGAUUAUGGGUUCCAGCUUCACCUUUAACA